rnacentral:rRNA from 1 species
GGGGGGACCACCCUCCAACCCUAAAUACUACCCAGUGACCGAUAGCGUAUAGUACUGUGAAGGAAAGGUGAAAAGCACCCCGGGAGGGGAGUGAAAAAGAACCUGAAACCCUGUGCCUACAAGCACCUAGAGCGCGUCAAAGCGUGAUAGGGUACUUUUUGUAGAACGGUCCGGCGAGCGAUUGUAUGCAGCAAGGUUAAGGACUUAAGGUCUGGAGCCGAAGCGAAAGCGAGUUUGAAAAGGGCGUUAAGUUGCAUAUAAUGGGCCCGAAACCGGGUGACCUACCCAUGGUCAGGUUGAAGUGGAAGUAAAAUUCCAUGGAGGACCGAACCGACCUCCGUUGAAAAGGCGGCGGAUGAACUGUGGGUAGCGGAGAAAUUCCAAUCGAACCCGGAGAUAGCUGGUUCUCCCCGAAAUAGUUUUAGGACUAGCCUCAAGUUAGAUAUCUGGAGGUAAAGCACUGAAUAGCCUAGCGGCCGAGAGGUUAGCGAAGCUUAUCAAACUCAGAAUGCCAGAAUAUUGAUGCUUGGGAGUCAGACAGUGUCAGAUAAAUGUCAUUGUCAAAAGGGAAACAGCCCAGAUCUACAGCUAAGGUCCCAAAGUUAGGUUAAGUGGAAAACGAUGUGAAGAUACGCAGACAACCAGGAUGUUGGCUCAGAAGCAGCCACUCAUUCAAAGAGUGCGUAAUAGCUCACUGGUCGAGCGUCUUUGCGCGGAGAAUUUAACGGGGCUAAACCUGACACCGAAGCUUAGGCAAUACAGUAAUGUAUUGGGUAGGGGAGCGUUGUAUACGCGGUGAAACAGUAGCGCAAGCGGCUGUGGAGUGUAUAGAAGUGAGAAUGCCGGAAUGAGUAGCGCGAAUGCAGUGAGAAUCUGCAUGGCCGAAAGCCUCAGGUUUUUGGAGGAAGGUUCGUCCGCUCCAAGUUAGUCGGGAGCUAAGGUGAGGCCGAGAGGCGUAGCCGAUGCACAGACGGUAGAGAUUCCGUCACCACCAAAAGAGUUAAGCACAGGGACACAUUUGAAGUCUCAGAGCCGGGUGUUGGUUCCGGUAGAGAUCGAGGGAAGUUAGUACCGAAGUCUGGGAUGGAAGAUGGCGAGAAAAGCUGUGUGGAUUUCUGAGGUGCCCGUACCGCAAACCGACACAGGUAGGUAGGAAGAAGAUUCUAAGGCCAACGGGAGAAGGGUUGUUAAGGAACUCGGCAAAUUGACCCCGUAACUUCGGGAGAAGGGGUGCUCCAGAGAUGGAGCCGCAGAGAAUCGGCCCAAGCAACUGUUUACCAAAAACACAGGUUUGUGCUAAAUCGAAAGAUGACGUAUACGAGCUGACGCCUGCCCGGUGCUGGAAGGUUAAGAGGAGAUGUGCAAGCAUUGAAUCGAAGCCCCAGUGAACGGCGGCCGUAACUAUAACGGUCCUAAGGUAGCGAAAUUCCUUGUCAGGUAAGUUCUGACCCGCAUGAAAGGCGUAAUGAUUUGGGCACUGUCUCAACAGCCCGCCCGGCGAAAUUGUAGUACCGGUGAAGAUGCCGGUUACCCGCGACAAGACGGAAAGACCCCAUGGAGCUUUACUGUAGCCUAAUAUUGGGUUUCGAUGUUGCAUGCACAGGAUAGAUGGGACUCUGGGAAACCAGUGCUUUGGCGCUGGCGGAGAGGCCGUUGGGAUACCAUCCUUGCGAUAUUGGAAUUCUAACCUGCGGCUCUGAAUCGAGUCGGGGGACAUUGUUAGGUGGGCAGUUUGACUGGGGCGGUCGCCUCCUAAAAAGUAACGGAGGCGUUCAAAGGUUCGCUCAGCUUGAACGGAAAUCAAGCAAAAGAGUGCAAACGCAGAAGCGAGCCUAACUGCGAGACUGACGGGUCGAGCAGUAACGAAAGUUGGAGUUAGUGAUCCGGUGGUAUGUGAGUGG